rnacentral:rRNA from 1 species
GUGGGGAAUAUUGGACAAUGGGCGCAAGCCUGAUCCAGCCAUGCCGCGUGUGUGAAGAAGGCCUUUUGGUUGUAAAGCACUUUAAGCGAGGAGGAGGCUCCUUUAGUUAAUACCUAAAGAGAGUGGACGUUACUCGCAGAAUAAGCACCGGCUAACUCUGUGCCAGCAGCCGCGGUAAUACAGAGGGUGCGAGCGUUAAUCGGAUUUACUGGGCGUAAAGCGUGCGUAGGCGGCUUUUUAAGUCGGAUGUGAAAUCCCUGAGCUUAACUUAGGAAUUGCAUUCGAUACUGGAAAGCUAGAGUAUGGGAGAGGAUGGUAGAAUUCCAGGUGUAGCGGUGAAAUGCGUAGAGAUCUGGAGGAAUACCGAUGGCGAAGGCAGCCAUCUGGCCUAAUAUUGACGCUGAGGUACGAAAGCAUGGGGAGCAAACAGGAUUAGAUACCCCAGUAGUCC